GACGAACGCUGGCGGCGUGCUUAACACAUGCAAGUCGAACGGAAAGGCCCUGCUUUUGUGGGGUGCUCGAGUGGCGAACGGGUGAGUAACACGUGAGUAACCUGCCCUUGACUUUGGGAUAACUUCAGGAAACUGGGGCUAAUACCGGAUAGGAGCUCCUGCUGCAUGGUGGGGGUUGGAAAGUUUCGGCGGUUGGGGAUGGACUCGCGGCUUAUCAGCUUGUUGGUGGGGUAGUGGCUUACCCAGGCUUUGACGGGUAGCCGGCCUGAGAGGGUGACCGGCCACAAUGGGACUGCGAUACGGCCCAGACUCCUACGGGAGGCAGCAGUGGGGAAUAUUGCACAAUGGGCGGAAGCCUGAUGCAGCAACGCCGCGUGCGGGAUGACGGCCUUCGGGUUGUAAACCGCUUUCGCCUGUGACGAAGCGUGAGUGACGGUAAUGGGUAAAGAAGCACCGGCUAACUACGUG
rnacentral:rRNA from 1 species